rnacentral:rRNA from 1 species
AUCUGCCCUGCACUCUGGGACAAGCCCUGGAAACGGGGUCUAAUACCGGAUACGAGCCUCCCGGGCAUCUGGGAGGUUGGAAAGCUCCGGCGGUGCAGGAUGAGCCCGCGGCCUAUCAGCUUGUUGGUGAGGUAACGGCUCACCAAGGCGACGACGGGUAGCCGGCCUGAGAGGGCGACCGGCCACACUGGGACUGAGACACGGCCCAGACUCCUACGGGAGGCAGCAGUGGGGAAUAUUGCACAAUGGGCGCAAGCCUGAUGCAGCGACGCCGCGUGAGGGAUGACGGCCUUCGGGUUGUAAACCUCUUUCAGCAGGGAAGAAGCGAGAGUGACGGUACCUGCAGAAGAAGCGCCGGCUAACUACGUGCCAGCAGCCGCGGUAAUACGUAGGGCGCAAGCGUUGUCCGGAAUUAUUGGGCGUAAAGAGCUCGUAGGCGGCUUGUCGCGUCGAUUGUGAAAGCCCGGGGCUUAACUCCGGGUCUGCAGUCGAUACGGGCAGGCUAGAGUGUGGUAGGGGAGAUCGGAAUUCCUGGUGUAGCGGUGAAAUGCGCAGAUAUCAGGAGGAACACCGGUGGCGAAGGCGGAUCUCUGGGCCAUUACUGACGCUGAGGAGCGAAAGCGUGGGGAGCGAACAGGAUUAGAUACCCUGGUAGUCCACGCCGUAAACGGUGGGCACUAGGUGUUGGCGACAUUCCACGUCGUCGGUGCCGCAGCUAACGCAUUAAGUGCCCCGCCUGGGGAGUACGGCCGCAAGGCUAAAACUCAAAUGAUUUGGACGGGGA